rnacentral:lncRNA from 1 species
AGCAGUUGUCUUACCAGAAUCAAUGUUAAACUACCUGAAACACACCUUUAGCAUACUCAGCAAAACGCUCUCGCCACUUCCCUUAUGCUAGUUUCCUGUUUUGACCCCAAGUUCAAUUAAUAUUUUUUUCCCAGUGUGGUUUUAGGUGAAUUGUUUUGAGGGAAUAAUUUGUUUAUUUCUUGGAAUCGAUCAAAUCCAAACUGAGGGCACAAGCCGGCCUUCUGCUUGCUGUCUGUCCCAGCUUGUAUCUAACUGCACAGCAGGGGUGGCUGCUGUGAGCAUCAGAGGCAUGCUGGGUAGUUUCUGCUGUCUGCUGUGUGCACCCUUCAGGAACUUAACAAUGGAGUCAAGGAAUUUUGGAAUCACUAGCAACAAAAUAGUGAAGCCUGACAAUUCUACUGACACUAGUAUAUAAAUCUUAAUUCUAUGCCUGUUUUUGUUUGGUUUUUAACAAAGAAUUGUCUGUCUGUGCAGACUGGACUGUUGGGUUGUCCAUUGUCCACGUGGCCUGGGAGCCUCGGGGUGGCCUGGAGCCUCUGGGGUGGCCUCUUUGCUUUGCUUGUUUGUUGUUGGCUUUAAACAGACAUUUGUUCUUAGUAGAUAGAAUUUUAAGAAAAAAAUUGUCACGGUCUAUAAUCCAAGGGAUCACAUUUUAGGAGCAGGAAUACAUUUUAAUUAACCCUGAUCUCCAGAGAUCUUAAUUGGAAAGCUUUAAAGCGGCUACAAGGUUUAUCCUUUGACCCCAUCUCUGGGGAGUUUUGAAUGCUGACCUACUUUUUUGCCUUUAUUAAUAUGAAAAAUUCCCAAACUUCAAGCACUUAAGAUUUCAAGACCAAAAUUAAGUUGGGUUUGAUAAGUUGACUUGAGUCAUCCCUGCCUGACCUAGCGACUUCACUUGGCAUUGUUGUCACACUUACAAGAAGUUACAGUAAUGUUGAAUGGGACUUGUAAGAGGCUUCCUUCCCUCUGUCUUUGAAGCCAUAUUCUGCCUGCGUGUAUUAUAAGGAAGUGGUAAUUUCAGUAGCUUUUCUAUUCCUGACCUUUUUCAUUCUUGUUUUCUUGUGGUCCAAUCCCUUCCACACACAGCUAAAGGAAAGCUACAAAAUAAAACACACACAGAAACAAACUUAUAAGCUGUUUAACGUGUAAGCCAAAGCCAAUAAUGAUUGAAGGUUUUCUGUGUCUUCUGUAAUUGUUAAUCACUUUGCAAAAGGGGGUGAAAUGUCAAAUUGCCUGUAUUUGCAUUUCUGGACUGUAAACUUUGUAUGUAAUAUAAUGUGUGUGGUUUUUAAUUGAGCUGUAUAAUCUGUUUAUUUUGAGGCCU